AAAAGUACUCUGAAGAGAGAGUUCAAGAGGACGUGAAACCGGUAGGGUGGAAACGGAUAGAGCCAAUGAACAAGCCCGUAUUCAGCUAGUCGGCUGCGUGCGGCCUGGCUAUACGUCCCGUAUGGGAGUAUGGUUGGGUGCGGUAUGCGGUUGGCUAGUGCAUUUGCGGGUGAUGUGCGCUGCGGCGUGUGUUGGAGCCCUGCGAACUGUCGUUAGAGGCCUUCGCUUCGGCUUAGGAACCUGGCGGCGGGUAGUAGUGGUCUCUAAUGCAUGUAGAUAAUACGGCUAGGUGCCUUCGCGCUGCCGUGUUGUGGAGGCUAGUUCACUGGUCGGUCGCAUGCGACUUGGCCUUUGGAUUGGUCCCUGCGAUGCGGUAGUGCCCUAGUCGACCCGCGGUGUAAAAGUUGGUCAUCUCUCCGACCCGUCUUGAAACACGGACCAAGGAGUCUAGCGUAUGCGCGAGUCAUUGGGUGGUAAACCCAUAGGCGUAAUGAAAGUGAAGGUUCAGCAAUGAACUGAUAUGCGAUCCGUUGGGCUACGGCCUAGCGGAGCAGCAUAGCCCCGUCAUUAGCAGACUUGCUCUCAGGGCGGACGGUAGAGCGCACCCAACUGGUACUCCGAUAGACGGUGAACGUAUAGCCAGAGCCGGACGCAGCCGACUAGCUGAAUACGGGCUUGUUGAUUGGCUCCUAACCGUUUCUCACCCUACCAAAUCGAUCGUCACUUGGG
rnacentral:rRNA from 1 species